rnacentral:lncRNA from 1 species
UCACUCUAUUGCCUGGGCCGGAGUGCAGUGGCCUGAUCUCUGCUCUCUGCAACCUCCGCCUCCUGGGUUCAAGUAAUUCUCCUGCCUCAGCCUCCUGAGUAGCUGGGACUACAGGUGUGUGCCACCAUGCCUGGCAAAUUUUUGUAUUUUUAGUAGAGAUGGGGGUUUCACUAUGUUGGCCAGGCUGGUCUCAAACUCCUGACCUCAUGGGAUCUUCUCGCCUCAGCCUCCCAAAAUGCUGGGAUUACAGGCAGAAGCCACCACUCCUGGCUGUUUUUAAUAUGUGGUUCUUUUCAUAAAAGAUGGUAAAAGCCAUCUUUUCUAUAAUUUCAGAUUGGGAAGGAUGAGCAAGUCCAACUUGACAAAUUCAGAUUUCAUGUAUCAUCCUGAACUGGACAAUGACCUUGCCUUGGGACUGGGUGGGAACAGUCCUUCUCCAUCACAGUCCCAAUGUUCUGCUGCAAUAAAAGGCUAGCUAGUUGCAUCCCUAGACUGUAUUGGAGCACAUUCUCCAUCCUCCUUGGUUACCUCCCCUGGUUAUUUGUGCAGCUUCUUAUCUCCUUCACUAAAUUUCAUAUUUCCUAAAUGAUAGACCAUGACUCACUCAAUCAUCUCUGUAUCUCUGACACUGCCUAACCUUGAUGUUUUCCCUUUGAUAGCUGCUUAGUAAAUGUUGGUUAAAUAUAUGAAAGCCAAGAAUGCUAUGGAUAGGAAAAUCAACCCUGCAAUUUUCUCUGACAUCACUUCCCUCCUUCUAUAAACAGAACUGACUUCCAAAAACCUAAAUCUUCUGCCCAGUUUUUUGAGAUUCUUGAUAUUUGACUCUUCUUUUUCUGCUAGACCCAAAGAAUUACCAAAUAACAUUGACCCUAUCUUUCUUCUUCCUUUCCUUUCUCUUUCUCUUUCUUUCUCUUUCUCUCUUUCUUUCUUUCUCUCUCUCUUUUCUUUCUCUUUCUUUUUCUCUCUUUUUUUCUUCUCACAUUUUUUAUAUGACUGCCAUAACACAGACCUGUAUGGAGUUAGAGUCAGAAACUUACUUAAAUCCUAUAUUUUGUUCUUGCAUUUAUAAAACAGAAUCAUUGUGAGAAAAUGCUUUAUUCUCUGCACCCCACCCCAACUACAAAAAUAAAGGGGUGUGAUCAUUAAAACAAGGGAUAACUGUGAUUUUUUCAUGGGAUUUUAUGAUUGGCUUCUGGACUAUAGUAAUCUUAAAGAUAGUGUUUUGUCAACCUCUAUUCAAAAACUCCUGUUAGCUGAAGUUUUCAAAGCUGUGGCCCAGCUGCCUUGUGGGUCUGAGGACAUUUCCUCUUACUAUGAUUUAUAUUUUUUGAUUGUGGGUAUACCUUAUAUUGCUUUUUAUCUGCAGAGAUCCUUUAAAAGCUCAGAUUGUAGGUUCUUCUCUGUUUCCAACAGAGAUAAUAACAACCAGGACCACUUUUUAUAAUAAUUUCCUGGCUUGGGAGUUUCCCUAGAGCAAGCCCUGCGUUCACAGGGGAAGUUCUUUCUCUCUCUCUCUCUUGCUGGCUCACUUGAUCACUUGCUUGCUCUUGCUGGUUAGAUUUAUUCCCAUUCAUCCCUUCAAGGAUGUGUAUGGCCCAGACCCACAUUCUAAAUGUAUAGUCCAAGGCCUAAUCUGCAGACCUCACACAUUCUGGCUUUCUCUCUCUCCCAUAGGGUGGUACAAAGGACAGUUUAUAUUUUCCCUCUCAUAUUUUAUUGACUGUUUUUGCUUUUGUGAAUGUUUUUACAUGCUUAUGAGUUAAGGCAUACAUUUAAACUGACAGUUACAUUUUACACAUUUGUUGCUUUUAUUUUAGUUUAGUUUUCAGCAUACAGAUUUCUAGGUUGUAAAUCGAAUCUUUCAAUAGCUUCUUAAGUUAUGUGCUGACUCAGAGGAAAUCAGGCAUAUUAUAGUUCCUUAUGAUAGGAUAUCUGGCAUAUACCAUGGUCAACAUAUUAUCUGAAAGUAUCAUCUUAAUCUCCUUUAAGACCUCCAGGAUAAAAUAAAAACUUGCAGGCCAGUCAUGCAUUACUCUCUAUAAAUCUUGUCCCAUUAUUUUUUUUUUCCAGAAAAACUGAAAGUCCACAUUUUGAGGUAAAAUCUAAUGAUUCACAAUGUUGAUAACUAAUUUUAAAAUUUUACAGGAAAAAUACUCUGAAGGCUAGCACUGUAAAGGCCAAAGUAGACAAUUUGCAGGCUCUGGUUUAUAGUGCCUUCUGUUUCAUGGAACUCUUCUUUAUGCCUUUGUUAUAUGCCAAACUAUACACUCACCAAAUCUGCACACUUUCUGAAAGCCACUGUAUUAUAAUUCUUGUGUUUGCCUCCUCACAAAACAGAGCCAUGCACACAGACCCUCAGAUGCCAUUCACUGAAUUGAAAUACGUUCUCACUGGUUUCUAAUAUUCACCGAGCCUGAAUAAAGGGGGUCGUAGAGCAUUUCCUGAAAAGGCAGCUGGAUGGCAAACAAGGAUAAAAUUGAGUCUUUCAUUUGUCUGAAGAAGAAAAAUAAUAUAGAGUUUCUUACGGGAGUCCAUGUUCAUAUUAGGCCAAAGUGAUUGCAAGUAUAAGCAAGGGAGAAAAGUCGAAGAAUGAGUUAGAGAUUUUAAGCCAGCUUAUGGUCUUGGAUUUUAUGACAAAGAUAUGACUCUCUCUUAAGUAAUCUUAAAAGGAAACUUGUCAACAGUGAUCAUUUGAGGACUACCAUUUUUUUUGUAUUAAAAUACAUGGGUGUAUUACUAUAGAUGUGAGAAGAUAAAUUCCUGGAAACUUUUAUUUAUUUGAGAGUCCUGUCUUCCAUAACAAUUU